rnacentral:tRNA from 3 species
GGGAUGGAUGUCUGAGCGGUUGAAAGAGUCGGUCUUGAAAACCGAAGUAUUGAUAGGAAUACCGGGGGUUCGAAUCCCUCUCCAUCCG